rnacentral:rRNA from 1 species
AACGAACGCUGGCGGCAUGCCUAACACAUGCAAGUCGAACGAGACCUUCGGGUCUAGUGGCGCACGGGUGCGUAACGCGUGGGAACCUGCCCUUAGGUUCGGAAUAACUCCCCGUAAGGGGUGCUAAUACCGGAUAAUGUCUUCGGACCAAAGAUUUAUCGCCUUUGGAUGGGCCCGCGUUGGAUUAGCUAGUUGGUAGGGUAAAAGCCUACCAAGGCGACGAUCCAUAGCUGGUCUGAGAGGAUGAUCAGCCACACUGGGACUGAGACACGGCCCAGACUCCUACGGGAGGCAGCAGUGGGGAAUAUUGGGCAAUGGGCGAAAGCCUGAUCCAGCAAUGCCGCGUGAGUGAUGAAGGCCUUAGGGUUGUAAAGCUCUUUUACCCGGGAUGAUAAUGACAGUACCGGGAGAAUAAGCUCCGGCUAACUCCGUG